UUUUAUGGAGAGUUUGAUCCUGGCUCAGGAUGAACGCUGGCGGCGUGCCUAAUACAUGCAAGUCGAGCGAACGGACGAGAAGCUUGCUUCUCUGAUGUUAGCGGCGGACGGGUGAGUAACACGUGGAUAACCUACCUAUAAGACUGGGAUAACUUCGGGAAACCGGAGCUAAUACCGGAUAAUAUUUUGAACCGCAUGGUUCAAAAGUGAAAGACGGUCUUGCUGUCACUUAUAGAUGGAUCCGCGCUGCAUUAGCUAGUUGGUAAGGUAACGGCUUACCAAGGCAACGAUGCAUAGCCGACCUGAGAGGGUGAUCGGCCACACUGGAACUGAGACACGGUCCAGACUCCUACGGGAGGCAGCAGUAGGGAAUCUUCCGCAAUGGGCGAAAGCCUGACGGAGCAACGCCGCGUGAGUGAUGAAGGUCUUCGGAUCGUAAAACUCUGUUAUUAGGGAAGAACAUAUGUGUAAGUAACUGUGCACAUCUUGACGGUACCUAAUCAGAAAG
rnacentral:rRNA from 1 species